UUGACCUCGGAUCAGGUAGGGAUACCCGCUGAACUUAAGCAUAUCAAUAAGCGGAGGAAAAGAAACCAACACGGGAUUGCCUCAGUAACGGCGAGUGAAGCGGCAACAGCUCAAAUUUGAAAUCUGGCUCUUUCAGGGUCCGAGUUGUAAUUUGUAGAAGAUGCUUUGGGUGUGGCUCCGGUCUAAGUUCCUUGGAACAGGACGUCAUAGAGGGUGAGAAUCCCGUACGUGACUGGGUGCCUUCGCUCGUGUAAAGCUCUUUCGACGAGUCGAGUUGUUUGGGAAUGCAGCUCAAAAUGGGUGGUAAAUUUCAUCUAAAGCUAAAUAUUGGCCAGAGACCGAUAGCGCACAAGUAGAGUGAUCGAAAGAUGAAAAGCACUUUGGAAAGAGAGUUAAACAGUACGUGAAAUUGUUGAAAGGGAAGCGCUUGCAACCAGACUUGCGCGCUGCUGAUCAUCCGAGCUUUUGCCCGGUGCACUCGGCAGCGCUCAGGCCAGCAUCGGUUUUGGUGGGCGGAUAAAGGCCUUGGGAAUGUAGCUCUCUUCGGGGAGUGUUAUAGCCCUCGGUGCAAUGCGCCCUACCGGGACCGAGGACCGCGCUUCGGCUAGGAUGCUGGCGUAAUGGUUGUAAGCGACCCG
rnacentral:rRNA from 1 species